rnacentral:lncRNA from 1 species
UUUGAUGUACCUUCAGGUUUUGGAUUUGGAGAUCCUACACUUACCAUUGCAACUGAUCCUCUUUUCUAAACAAUCUUACCAUUGCUACUGCACACGGCACACUGCCUAGCUAGCUACUAGCAAACCAGAUUCGGAUUCGGAUUCAACAGAGUAACUGAUUUUGGCUGUUCGGUCACAAAUCAACUAUGAAGAUUAUUUCAUCAUGACUUAGUAAAAGUUUAAUGUGAGUCGACCAAUCUCAAAACAAUAUCGACUACUGUGUGUAAGUGCGUGUUAAUUUAAUUUGAUCUAAUAUUGAAGUGACCGGAAUGGUUUUAUACUUUUAUGCUAGAAUAUUCAUGGUUUUAUACCAAAAAAGUGCAACAAAUGUCCACCUUUAUAUGAGUAUCAUUCUUGUCUCUCGCACUAAAUACGUCAUAAACAGAAUAUUGUUCGAGUACCAUUCUUGCCUCUAUUGAAUUAGAUAACUCGUCUCAAUAAUAUUUAUCAGUAUACAAAAUUCAUACAUCCUCAAAAUCACUUUAUAAUUAAUUUAAAUUAAAAACUUCAUUAUGAAUUCCACAAAAUAUGUCUGUAUUCAUCAUGAAUCUAUUCUAUAUCUAUAACAAUAUGUUAAGUCAAAAUUCAAAUGCAUUGUACACUCAGGUAAAAAUUUAACCUCUAGG